GAAAGGAAUCUCAACCUGUACGUGAACAACAAUGGUAGCGGACGGUGGUGAAUAAGAGUGGUGAUGUCUUGGAAGGGAUCGAAGGUGUUCAACGAGUCCAAUCGAAGUUCCACGAGGGGCGCAGAUUAAGGUUGCAUUCUUCCUACCUACCGAUGGAGUCGCGAACUGAAGAAUGCAAAAAGCAAACAAAAAUUAGGGUUGAAACUGAAGCAGUGGAAGAGAAACAGGGAAACAGGGAAGAUAAGAGAGUGAGUUACGAGAAGGUUGGGAGAAUCCAUCCGAAAAAUUGAGUUUGUUUGAUUUUGCUGGUACAGAGUACGAAGUAUGAAGUAAGUUGAACCUUUUCUUUAUCUUUUUUUCACCAAAAACCAUUUAUGGGUAAAAAGACUUAUGAAUCCAAAAGAUAUUUGUGGGUCUAUGAAUGUGAUACAACAGAUCUGAAAAGCUAUACAGUACAAUGCUUCCAAUGCUUCAUUUGGACAAGUCUUUGUGUGGUUACCAUUCCUCUAAAUUGA